rnacentral:rRNA from 1 species
GCCUACGGGGGGCAGCAGUGAGGAAUAUUGGUCAAUGGGCGGAAGCCUGAACCAGCCAAGUCGCGUGAGGGAAUAAGGCCCUACGGGUCGUAAACCUCUUUUGCCGGGGAGCGAGGGCGGGGACGUGUCCCGGCCCGGAGAGUACCCGGAGAAAAAGCAUCGGCUAACUCCGUGCCAGCAGCCGCGGUAAUACGGAGGAUGCGAGCGUUAUCCGGAUUUAUUGGGUUUAAAGGGUGCGUAGGCGGGCUUUUAAGUCAGCGGUAAAAAUUCGGGGCUCAACCCCGUCCGGCCGUUGAAACUGGGGG